rnacentral:rRNA from 1 species
AACGAACGCUGGCGGCAGGCUUAACACAUGCAAGUCGAGCGCGCCCUUCGGGGUGAGCGGCGGACGGGUGAGUAACGCGUGGGAACGUGCCCUUUGGUUCGGAAUAGCCCCGGGAAACUGGGAGUAAUGCCGAAUAAGCUCUUCUCGAGUAGAUCUUGGGGAGGAAAGAUUUAUCGCCAAAGGAUCGGCCCGCGUCGGAUUAGGUAGUUGGUGGGGUAACGGCCUACCAAGCCGACGAUCCGUAGCUGGUUUGAGAGGAUGACCAGCCACACUGGGACUGAGACACGGCCCAGACUCCUACGGGAGGCAGCAGUGGGGAAUCUUGGACAAUGGGGGCAACCCUGAUCCAGCCAUGCCGCGUGAGCGAUGAAGGCCUUAGGGUUGUAAAGAUCUUUCAGCUGGGAAGAUAAUGACGGUACCAGCAGAAGAAGCCCCGGCUAACUCCGUGCCAGCCGCCGCCGUAAGAC